GACGAACGCUGGCGGCGUGCUUAACACAUGCAAGUCGAACGGAAAGGCCCUGCUUUUGUGGGGUGCUCGAGUGGCGAACGGGUGAGUAACACGUGAGUAACCUGCCCUUGACUUUGGGAUAACUUCAGGAAACUGGGGCUAAUACCGGAUAGGAGCUCCUGCUGCAUGGUGGGGUUUGGAAAGUUUCGGCGGUUGGGGAUGGACUCGCGGCUUAUCAGCUUGUUGGUGGGGUAGUGGCUUACCAAGGCUUUGACGGGUAGCCGGCCUGAGAGGGUGACCGGCCACAUUGGGACUGAGAUACGGCCCAGACUCCUACGGGAGGCAGCAGUGGGGAAUAUUGCACAAUGGGCGGAAGCCUGAUGCAGCAACGCCGCGUGCGGGAUGACGGCCUUCGGGUUGUAAACCGCUUUAGCCUGUGACGAAGCGUGAGUGACGGUAAUGGGUAAAGAAGCACCGGCUAACUACGUG
rnacentral:rRNA from 1 species